UACGGAGGAUCCGAGCGUUAUCCGGAUUUAUUGGGUUUAAAGGGUGCGUAGGCGGAUGAUUAAGUCAGCUGUGAAAUACCGUCGCUCAACGGCGGCACUGCAGUUGAAACUGGUUGUCUUGAGAGUGCAAGAGGCAUGCGGAAUUCAUGGUGUAGCGGUGAAAUGCAUAGAUAUCAUGAAGAACCCCGAUUGCGAAAGCAGCAUGCUGGGGCAUAUCUGACGCUGAGUCACGAAAGUGCGGGUAUCAAACAGG
rnacentral:rRNA from 2 species